rnacentral:rRNA from 1 species
UGGGGAAUAUUGGACAAUGGGCGAAAGCCUGAUCCAGCCAUGCCGCGUGUGUGAAGAAGGUCUUCGGAUUGUAAAGCACUUUAAGUUGGGAGGAAGGGCAGUAAGCGAAUACCUUGCUGUUUUGACGUUACCUACAGAAUAAGCACCGGCUAACUCUGUGCCAGCAGCCGCGGUAAUACAGAGGGUGCAAGCGUUAAUCGGAAUUACUGGGCGUAAAGCGCGCGUAGGUGGUUCGUUAAGUUGAAUGUGAAAGCCCCGGGCUCAACCUGGGAACUGCAUCCAAGACUGGCGGGCUGGAGUAGGGCAGAGGGUGGUGGAAUUUCCUGUGUAGCGGUGGAAUGCGUAGAUAUAGGAAGGAACACCAGUGGCGAAGGCGACCACCUGGGCUCAUACUGACACUGAGGUGCGAAAGCGUGGGGGGCAAACAGG